AUCAUUGAACUAUAAAUAAACUGGAAGGCUAACUCAGGGGGGGGAAAUUGAAGCCAGUGCAUUUUAGUUUUUCUGAGUUAUGAGCAGAAAUACUCAACACUGAACGUUGGGCUAUAUAUCAAAUUGAAGCUAUUGAAAAACGCUAUUUGGUGUAGAAAUUUCAAGACUUUAGCUAAAAGGGAAAUAUUGAAAAACUACAAACAUAAUUACCGAUAAUUUGCCGUUUUGCAGUUGUUUUUGUAUUUUUUAAAUAUUUUUCUUUUCGCUGAAGUCUUGAAAUUU